rnacentral:rRNA from 1 species
GACGAACGCUGGCGGCGUGCUUAACACAUGCAAGUCGAACGGUAAGGCUCCAGCUUGCUGGGGUACACGAGUGGCGAACGGGUGAGUAACACGUGGGUGACCUGCCCUGCACUUCGGGAUAAGCCUGGGAAACUGGGUCUAAUACCGGAUAGGACCGCACCGUGAGGGUGUGGUGGAAAGUUUUUUCGGUGUGGGAUGGGCCCGCGGCCUAUCAGCUUGUUGGUGGGGUAAUGGCCUACCAAGGCGGCGACGGGUAGCCGGCCUGAGAGGGUGGACGGCCACAUUGGGACUGAGACACGGCCCAGACUCCUACGGGAGGCAGCAGUGGGGAAUAUUGCACAAUGGGCGGAAGCCUGAUGCAGCGACGCCGCGUGGGGGAUGACGGCCUUCGGGUUGUAAACUCCUUUCACCAUCGACGAAGGGUUUCUGACGGUAGAUGGAGAAGAAGCACCGGCUAACUACGUGCCAGCAGCCGCGGUAAUACGUAGGGUGCGAGCGUUGUCCGGAAUUACUGGGCGUAAAGAGCUCGUAGGUGGUUUGUCGCGUCGUCUGUGAAAUUCCGGGGCUUAACUCCGGGCGUGCAGGCGAUACGGGCAUAACUUGAGUACUGUAGGGGAGACUGGAAUUCCUGGUGUAGCGGUGAAAUGCGCAGAUAUCAGGAGGAACACCGGUGGCGAAGGCGGGUCUCUGGGCAGUAACUGACGCUGAGGAGCGAAAGCAUGGGGAGCGAACAGGAUUAGAUACCCUGGUAGUCCAUGCCGUAAACGGUGGGCGCUAGGAGUGGGUUUCCUUCCACGGGAUCCGUGCCGUAGCUAACGCAUUAAGCGCCCCGCCUGGGGAGUACGGCCGCAAGGCUAAAACUCAAAGGAAUUGACGGGGCCCGCACAAGCGGCGGAGCAUGUGGAUUAAUUCGAUGCAACGCGAAGAACCUUACCUGGGCUUGACAUAUACAGGAUCGCGCCAGAGAUGGUGUUUCCCUUGUGGCUUGUAUACAGGUGGUGCAUGGUUGUCGUCAGCUCGUGUCGUGAGAUGUUGGGUUAAGUCCCGCAACGAGCGCAACCCUUGUCUUAUGUUGCCAGCACGUUGUGGUGGGGACUCGUAAGAAACUGCCGGGGUUAACUCGGAGGAAGGUGGGGAUGACGUCAAAUCAUCAUGCCCCUUAUGUCCAGGGCUUCACACAUGCUACAAUGGUCGGUACAGUGGGUUGCCAGUCCGUGAGGGCGAGCUAAUCCCGCAAAGCCGGUCUCAGUUCGGAUCGGGGUCUGCAACUCGACCCCGUGAAGUCGGAGUCGCUAGUAAUCGCAGAUCAGCAACGCUGCGGUGAAUACGUUCCCGGGCCU